UACAGAGGUCCCAAGCGUUGUUCGGAUUCACUGGGCGUAAAGGGUGCGCAGGUGGGUUGGCAAGUUUGACGUGAAAGCCCCGGGCUUAACCCGGGAAUGGCGUUGAAAACUGCUGAUCUGGAGGAUUGGAGGGGGGACUGGAAUUCUUGGUGUAGCAGUGAAAUGCGUAGAUAUCAAGAGGAACACCAGUGGCGAAGGCGAGUCCCUGGACAAUUCCUGACACUGAGGCACGAAAGCCAAGGGAGCAAACAGG
rnacentral:rRNA from 1 species